rfam:Gossypium arboreum cultivar AKA8401 contig_134493_1, whole genome shotgun sequence.
AAUUCAUGGUGAGGACACCUUCGCAGUAGGUCCUUGUAUCUCUCCCAUGCAUCGUAGAGAGUUUCUAAGUCCAUAUACACAAACGAAGAGAUAUCAUUACGUAAUU